AUAAUAUAGAAUUUAAAUUAAAUGAUAUUAAUAUAUGUAUAUAUAUACAAUACGAAUAUCUAUUACUGGGACAUCAUAUUAAUACGAUUUAUAAUCACUUGUAUUUUUCUUGAACAAAAAAAUUAAACCAUUGAUCACAAAAUUUUUAAUGUGGGGUUUUUACCAUUUUUAGUAAUUUAUAGUCAUUUAAAAAUUUCAAAAUAUAACAUAUAAGGAAUAAUCUAAUAGUUUUAUUAUAUGCUUCAUAUGAUUGUUUAAUUUUUUUUAAUAAUAUAUAAUUAAUUAAACAAAAGAGAGAGAGAGAGAGAGAGGAUAGAAAAAUUGUUAUCAAAUAUGUAUUACUCAUAAUCAUUAAUUGUCAUAUAUAUGUUAACAAUAUUAGGUAAUUCCGUAGCUUUUAUUUAAGGAAAUAAUUGGGAAUAUUAUUUUGUCACUACUAAUCAAUUUGAUAGUUAGUUUAAUAAAAAUAUAAUAUAUAUUUGUAUGGACCAACUUAUUUUUCUAAGGAUUCUAAGAAUCAUCAUAGUGAUGAAACUUGGCUAUGAAAACAUGUUGUAAUGCUCCAGGAUUAAUAUAUAGGGGAUUUGGAACUAAAGUAUGAAUAGUAGGGAUGUUGAAUAUACAGUAUGUUAGUGUUUAUAUUUAUAAUUUAGAGUAGAAGGUUUAUGUAUAGAGUUUAAGUUUUAAAUGUAUGUUUAUGGUAUAUAGUUUGACUAAAGAUUUAAGGUUUGUGUUCUGGAAGUUAUAGAUUAAGAUUAAAAGGAAUAAUUUUGAGUUUAAGUUUACGAUUUCAGGUUAUAGUAUGAAAAGAUUAGAGUUUUAAGGUUUAAGUUUAGAUUUUAGGAUUUAAAACAUGUUUAGGGUUUAGGGUUUCAAAGAUUCUAAAUUGAUAUUUCAUUGCAGUUCUCAAAACAAUGCUAUCAUAAUGUGAUAUCGAAAAAGAAAAAAAAGUUAUGUCGUGGCACUUGUCUAAUUUUCACCUAAGUAUUGGCGGUAUUAGUGAUUUUUUAUUCCCGCUCACUAAUUUUUCACAAAACGUUAAUUAACUGCUAUUAAUAUAAAUAAAAAUCAGAAACUGAUUUCUCAUAGCAGCAGUUAUGAAAAUAAU
rnacentral:lncRNA from 1 species